GCGGGGUUUCGUUUUCGCCCUGUAGGAAAGCUCUGAAGAACUGACCACCCCUUUCUCUUGGACGUCCUAAGGCGUCAGACCUCAAGAUAGAUGAAGCUGCAUCACAUAGUGUGGCUGGUGCGCAGGACAGGUGAGCUCCGAGCAACACAGACCCUGCGGCUCUGCUCCGUCUGGGUUGGAUUCGCUCUCGUGGCUUCCUAGAUGGGCCUUCCUCCACUGCUGCACUGCGGAGAGGCCGGCAGGCGCCACUCCUCACCCACAGUAGUCUCCUUGCAAAAAGCUAGGCGCGCAGCCUGGCUGAGAGCCCAGAGCGUCACCUACCCACACCUGGCGUGGCCCUUCUGUAGGAGACGGGAUUGGCUUCUGCAAGGCCAAAACCUAUGUCCGACUUCCUCGAAGAGGAUCUCACUCAGCUGUCCUCACAAAGUUUGGAGCCAGAAAGUCCCAUGAUCGCAAGGAAAUUCACUGAACUUCGGUUUCGCUUACGAGGCAUUUUGAGAUUUUUCUUGCUUUGCCAGAGGAAGAGGAGAGGAACUGUAAAGAAUGCUUUUUAUUCCUGUGGAGUGGAAUAGUCUGUAUCCACAUUGAAGCUUUCUUCUCUCCUGUAUCCUGGAGUUGGUCAGAGUUGGUUCCUCGAAUGCGGCAGCACUACCAUCUCUCAGGUCAAAUUACAAGACUUGUUACUGGAGAGCACUUUGUACACCCUAGACUGCCCCACAGUUGUUAGUUAACAAUGCUCUUUGGGGUUUUACUGGCACCUUUUUUUUCCAAAUAAGAUUGAUAUGUGCCUGCUCAAAUAAAUUAGAGUGCUCGUCUCAGAUGACAGGCACAUUGGCAGGCAGGUCGUGUUCACAGGCCAACUAGAGGACUAAUUUCAAUUCAGGGAUAUAACCAGUUCGUGAGUACUAAGUAAGGAUUAGCUUUCAUUUGAGUGUUUAAUGUGUUAUAGCAGAGCAUGUCAGGAGCUAGCAGCGAUGGGAAGAAGGCUGGUGGUGGCACUGAGGCAGCUUGUUGGAACACUUCCAUGUCAUUGGGGAGACCCCUGAGUUUCACCACAUCAGUACUAUUGACAUUUGGAGCUGGAUAACUUUUUUGAAGAUUGUCCUGUGCAUUUUAGGAUGUUUGGAACACCCCUGGCCUCUACCCAGUAGAUGCUUUUAGCAAACACCCUCACCAAGGCUGACAAGCAAAACUGUCUCCAAAGUCAAAUGUGUUGUUCUUUCUCUUCCCAACCCAAGGUUGAAAUUUUGCCAUGCCUAGUGAUGAUCCCAGAGGGCUUGUCAGGAAGGCACAGGCUCCAGCACGCCUGCCUCUCAAGCAAGGUCCUGAGUUUGAUCCCCAGUACUGGAAAAAAAAAAAGUGCACAGGCUAAGCCGGGUGUGGUGAAUCAUGCCUGUUAUCCCAACAAUCUGAGAAGCUGAGGCAGGAGGAUGGCAAGUUCUAGCCCAGCCUGGGCAACUUACUGAUUCAACUCUGUCUCAAAAUAAAUAAAAAGGUUCCGGUAUGUAACUCAGUGUGAAGGCCCUGGAUUCAGCCAUCAGUACUGGGUGGGGGAGCCACAUUCCAGAGCUAUGAAUCACUAAAUGUGGUUUUUAUGUCUACCUACCAAUAAAUGUUUUGAAUGAAUCUUAUCAAAGUGAGGGAGGAAAUUCAGACAAAUCCAGAUUGGGAGAUAUUCUAGAAAACAGCUCCAGUGGACUUUUAAAAAACUCAAUAAAAAUCCAAAAAAGCCAGGGAAUCCAUCCUGAAAAAGGGAUACCACAUCCAGGUCUAUCAGCUGACCCCUUGAUCCAGCACUGGUUGAAGCAGGAAGUUAUGACCUUUGAAGGACAAUUGGAGAACUUUGUGUGUGGAUGUCCUAUACAUUGGAGAAUGUUACUGAAUCAUUGUUAGUUUUUGCUUUCCUAUAGUUCACAAGAAUGUCCUUAUUCUUAAGAGAUGCUUACUGAAUCAUUGAAAGUCGAAAGUUCUAGUGACUACUUUCAAAUGGCUCAGAAAUUAAUAUGUUGCCAGGCGUGGUUGCACAUGCCUGUAAUCUCAGCACUUGGGAAGCUGAGGCAGGAGGAUCACUACAAGUUGGAGGCCGGCCUGGGCUACAAUAGUGACUUCAAGACCAGAACUACAUAGCAAGAUCCUGUCUGAAAAAACAAAACAGGGCCGGGGAUUUAGCUCAGUGGUUCUGCGGCCUGCCUCACAAGCUCAAGGUCCCAAGUUUGAUCCCUGGUACCAAAAAAAAAAAGAAAGAAAGAAAGAAAUGCAUCAUAUACAGUACAUUACAUUCCAGGAUAGGUUCAAGCCCUGGGCAGAUAGGGAGUCUUGAAGGUAGAUAGCAAGGUAUGUCCUUGGCAGCAUUAACAGGUUAGAUAGGGAGAUAUGUUCUUGGCAGAGCUAGCAAGAAAAUAUGUGCUUAUGAUAAUCAUUCAUUACAGACUACAGAACUUUGGAGUUCUUAACUCCAAUUUCAAACUAAUCCGUACCCACUUCCUUUUCACUGGGAUUACGGUGGGUGCCACCAUGCAUAUAGUUAUUUUCUUUUACAGGUUCUCAACCAUACUUCUGAAGAUGGAGUCAGAGAGCCUGCAUGUUUUUUCUCCAAUAGCACUUGGAAUAUGGGAGUGGGAGAAGGGAAAGCAGAUAUGGGAUGGAGAGGUUAGACCUAAACUGGACCACAAUCUGUUCACCUAUGGGCAUUGAUACAGUAAUCAGAAACCUACCCUUGGAGUCCUUAUCAAGUUAGGUAUAUUUAUUGUAGAAUUUCUCAGCACAGUAAACUGUUUUCAGUAUCUAGUAUAUACCUAAGCAUAUGAAUAAUAGCAGGGGCUUAACUUCUGGAUAGGUGCUAUGGUUUGGAAAUUUUUUUUUAACUAUUAUUUUUGUUCUUUGUCUUUUGAGAUUUCUGUUUGUUGGUUUUGGCUGUAAUGGGGCCUGAACCCAGAGACAGUCUACCAUGGAGUUCCACCCUCAGCCCUUUCUGUUUUUUAUUUUGACAUAGCAUCUCGAUAAAUUGCCCAGGUUGGCCUCGAACUUGAAAUCUUCCUUCAUCAGCCUCCCGCGUAGUUGGGAUGACAGGAGUCCAGCUCAACGAAGAAUUCCAUGAGGACGGGAGGUGAGAAGUAGCUAGAGUCAGCUGGAAAGAAAGGAAGGAGCCCUACCUUGGAGACCAAUUUGUAGGCUAGAUCCACCUUCUGUGUUAAACUUUGUCACCAGUGGACACAGGGGCCACUCUUGACACCAAAGGCACUUGAGGCCACUUUGGGGCUCAGAGGAGCUGAAGGGAGUCAGCAAGUCUGCCAAACAAAGAUCCCAAGAGUUGAGCAAUCUCCUGAAUGCAACAAUUUAUUGAGCAUUUACCACAUUCAUAGAAAGAGAGAAGGGAUCUCACCCAGACAUAAGCUAGGAGCUGGAGGUGGCACUGACAGUGCAGGACUUUCUUCCACCUGGCCUACACACUGUGUGAACACCGUGGGCCCAACAGGCAGCACUGGAACUCAGCGAUCUGCAGGCUGAGCACUGGAACUCAUGGCGAUCCAGAGACCAGUACAGCCAGGGAGCCAAGUGGGGAAUCCGGAUGGGCAGAGUGAUGGUCACAGACUGUUGCAGAGCUCAAGCAGCAGCUCCUCAAAGAGCAAUAUGAGGGCAGAGUCCAUAAGCAUUAAGCCAGAAGACCAAGCCCAAGAGCAGCUCAAGACUUCAUCUUUUAUGCUGUGGGGAAGUUGGUGCAAACAACAUGUGUUAAUCUUGACAGUAAAAAUAUAUUUUUUAGAAAACA